rnacentral:rRNA from 1 species
GCGUCGAGCGGCGGACGGGUGAGUAAUGCCUAGGAAAUUGCCCUGAUGUGGGGGAUAACCAUUGGAAACGAUGGCUAAUACCGCAUGAUGCCUACGGGCCAAAGAGGGGGACCUUCGGGCCUCUCGCGUCAGGAUAUGCCUAGGUGGGAUUAGCUAGUUGGUGAGGUAAGGGCUCACCAAGGCGACGAUCCCUAGCUGGUCUGAGAGGAUGAUCAGCCACACUGGAACUGAGACACGGUCCAGACUCCUACGGGAGGCAGCAGUGGGGAAUAUUGCACAAUGGGCGCAAGCCUGAUGCAGCCAUGCCGCGUGUGUGAAGAAGGCCUUCGGGUUGUAAAGCACUUUCAGUCGUGAGGAAGGUGGUGUAGUUAAUAGCUGUAUUAUUUGACGUUAGCGACAGAAGAAGCACCGGCUAACUCCGUGCCAGCAGCCGCGGUAAUACGGAGGGUGCGAGCGUUAAUCGGAAUUACUGGGCGUAAAGCGCAUGCAGGUGGUUUGUUAAGUCAGAUGU